CGGUGGCAACGCUUCAACUACAGUACUGUUAUUCCGAUUCUAAUGCAUUUCAAAAAGAAAUAAUACGAUAAAACUUGGAAAAAUGUCUAAAUUUGACAAAUAAAAACAAAUCCGCGAAACUUCAUGAAUGAUUUUGGCCCAAAGAUGUCAUGGGUACACGUGACGUCAUACAAAUAAAAACUUACAAACUGGAGGUUAUUACGUUACCUGUACACUUCAAAUUCGGAUAAAAUAACUUUAAAACGGCGAAUUCGAGGUAGGAGUUGUUUUAUUUUGGAUGAUAUAGUAGUAAUCGAACAUUUGUUGAUUCAAUCAUUUCAAAAUGGUUGUCCCUCCUUAGUUACGCCUGGUCAACUGUGGAUUUGACGGUAACUUUUAGCCAAUGAAAAAAAUUGUUGCAUACAAAUUGCAUUAGAAUUAAUAUUAUGUGUUUUCUUGUGUUGAUUUAUAUGUAUUGAUCGCUGCUGUUUAUCGUUUGUCAUGUUGUAAAUAUGUUUAAUAUGAUUAAAUAACCGUAUAAGCGCGUAUGUACCUGUUCAGCGCUCGACUGAUACCCUGUUACAUAUUCGUUACUUAUUCUCUUAACGAUACGUAUGUAAUACGUUUAACCUUUUUAAAAAUUAUUUUCAUUUUUCUUUUGUCUCUGGUUAUAGCAAUGGGUUCUUAGAGGUGAAAUAAUCCUACUAGCUUGUAUGUACACGCUCAGAGUUCGACUGAUACCCUGUUACUUAUUCGCUUGAUACACGUAUAUUUUCUUUAUUUUUUCUUGUUUCUGGUGUAAAGGUUCUUACAGGUAAAAUAAUUAUAUCAACGCUUAUGUACCCGUUUAAGCCUUCAACUGACACCCUGUUUCUUAUUCGUUCCCUAUUCGCUCGAAACACGUUUGUUAUGCAUUGUACCUUUAAAAAAAAUCUUUUAAUUUCUUCUUGUCUUUGGUGCUAGCUUUGGAAUCAUGGAGGUGAAAUAACCUUAUCAGCGCGUAUGUACCCGUUGAAGCGCUCAACUGAUACCCUGUUACACAUUCGUUCCUUAAAACAUACUCCAUGUUUUUCCACAAAUGCUUUUGCAGUUGAUUAUCGUUAAAAGUGUGAGAAGA
rnacentral:lncRNA from 1 species